rnacentral:rRNA from 1 species
CCGGAUUUUACACAAGUGUUGCAUGGCUGUCGUCAGCUCGUGUCGUGAGAUGUUGGGUUAAGUCCCGCAACGAGCGCAACCCUCAUCCUUAGUUGCUAUCAGGUAAUGCUGAGUACUUUAAGGAAACUGCCAGUGAUAAGCUGGAGGAAGGUGGGGAUGAUGUCAAGUCAUCAUGGCCUUUAUGGRGUGGGCUACACACGUGCUACAAUGGUGUCUACAAUGGGCUGCAAGGUGCGCAAGCCUAAGCUAAUCCCUAAAAGACAUCUCAGUUCGGAUUGUACUCUGCAACUCGAGUACAUGAAGUUGGAAUCGCUAGUAAUCGUGGAUCAGCAUGCCACGGUGAAUACGUUCUCGGGUCUUGUACACACUGCCCG